rnacentral:rRNA from 1 species
CCAGACUCCUACGGGAGGCAGCAGUGGGGGAUAUUGCACAAUGGGGGGAACCCUGAUGCAGCGACGCCGCGUGGGUGAAGGAGUAUUUCGGUAUGUAAAGCCCUAUCGGCAGGGAAGAAGCAAGACGGUACCUGACUAAGAAGCCCCGGCUAACUACGUGCCAGCAGCCGCGGUAAUACGUAGGGGGCACGCGUUAUCCGGAUUUACUGGGUGUAAAGGGAGCGUAGACGGCUGUGCAAGUCUGAAGUGAAAGCCCAGGGCUCAACCCUGGGACUGCUUUGGAAACUGUGGAGCUAGAGUGCUGGAGAGGUAAGUGGAAUUCCUAGUGUAGCGGUGAAAUGCGUAGAUAUUAGGAGGAACACCAGCGGCGAAGGCGGCUUGCUGGACUGUAAAUGACGCUGAGGCUCGAAAGCGUGGGGAGCAAACAGGAUUAGAUACCCCAGUA